ensembl:misc_RNA Y_RNA Y RNA
GGCUGGUCUCCUGUGUGGUGCUGUUUACAACUCAUUCAUGACAAUCAGAUUUCUUUGUUCCUUUUCCACUCCCACUGCUUUACUUGACUAGCCUUCA